rnacentral:rRNA from 1 species
GCCUAACACAUGCAAGUCGAGCGGCAGCGCGAUUAGUAGCAAUACUAAUUGGCGGCGAGCGGCGGACGGGUGAGUAACACGUAGGAACCUGCCCAGAAGUGGGGGGUAACUAAUGGAAACGUUAGCUAAUACCGCAUACAUUCGGGAGAAGAAAGCCGCAGCAAUGUGGCGCUUUUGGAGGUGCCUGCGUCCGAUUAGCUAGUUGGUAAGGUAAUGACUUACCAAGGCGAUGAUCGGUAACUGGUCUGAGAGGACGACCAGUCACACUGGGACUGAGACACGGCCCAGACCCCUACGGGAGGCAGCAGUGGGGAAUCUUGGACAAUGGGGGAAACCCUGAUCCAGCGAUGCCGCGUGAGUGAAGAAGGCCCUCGGGUCGUAAAGCUCUUUAGGCUGGGAAGAAGGUUGGUUGAGGCAAUGCGAUCGACUUGAUGGUACCAGCAGAAUAAGCACCAGCAAACUCUGUGCCAGCCGCCGCCGUAA